rnacentral:rRNA from 1 species
CGCGUAUAGAAUCUACCUUUUACUGAGGGAUAGCCUUUAGAAAUGAAGAUUAAUACCUCAUAGUAUCAAAUUUUCGCAUGAUUAUUUGAUUAAAGAUUUAUUGGUAAAAGAUGACUAUGCGUCCUAUUAGCUAGAUGGUAAGGUAACGGCUUACCAUGGCAACGAUAGGUAGGGGUCCUGAGAGGGAGAUCCCCCACACUGGUACUGAGACACGGACCAGACUCCUACGGGAGGCAGCAGUGAGGAAUAUUGGGCAAUGGAGGCAACUCUGACCCAGCCAUGCCGCGUGCAGGAAGACGG